rnacentral:lncRNA from 1 species
AUACAUCUUGGUGGCUCCUGGGUGCACACUAUACCUCGCAUUAUGAGCUUCCCUCAUAAUGUCUUCCUUCACACUGCCUCUAUCUGGUACACAAAGUCGACUCCCAAAGCGAAGGAUCCCUUUGCUGUCAAAUCUGAACUCUGCACUGUUGCCUGACUGAGCAGUCCUGGCAAUUUUCAUCAACUCAGGGUCCUCAUGCUGUCUCUGAGCUAUCUGCUCCAGAAACACAGGUGUCACUCUCAUCUGUGCAAUCAAUGCACCUGUACCAGACAACUCGAACUGUAACCC